UUUCUCAACUAUUUGGUGUCCAACUUUUGACAGUUCAGCAGGGCAGCUUCCUUCAUCUCCAAAUACCCUUUUUUCGAAUAAAUCCCAACUUUCUUCAGGUGUUAAAAGUUCAAGGUUGAGAGGAUCACUACGGCAUUUAACUUUCAAACCUACCUCACUACUUCGGCUAGUUAAAAUAACUCUAUUUCCUCUCUUAACCUUAGGAAAACAGGCUAUUAACAUCUCCCCAGUUGCAAUAUCCCACACAUCAUCCAAGACGAUGAGAUACCUUUUAUCGAGUAGUGCUGUUCGUAGCUUUUCAGCCAGGUCAUCCACUUUUUUUUCUUCUUCAGAGGCAGUAACUUGCUGAAGAAUCUCCAGCAACACCUUUGACUUGUUAUACUUUUGGGAAACAGUGCACCAAGCACGGACAUGGAAAUGACUAGCAACUAAUGUAUUUUUAUACACUUUGUUGGCCAGAGUAGUUUUACCGAGUCCUGGCAUUCCGACAAUGGAAAUGACAUCAAGCUCAGAUUCAUGUUCAUCAAGGAGCUGGUCAAUGAUCUGGGAUUCUUCUUUCUCAUGACCUACUGUUACCUCAACAAAAGGUGAUGAAGUUGACUGAGUUGGCUGGGAGGAAGACUUUGCAUCAAGGGGGCCAUCCCCAUUCUUAUCCUCCAGCUGAAACCUGGUGACUUGUUCCACGAUAAGUUUGAUCUUAUCAGUGACACUCGGAAGUGAGAAGAGGAGAUGCGAGAGAGCUUUAUCUCUGACAAGAAUGGAAUUAAUGACAUGUUCUGCCUCAUAUGCCACAUCCAAAGCACGCACCCAACAAUCUUUAACUACUCCACUAGUACUCUCAUCCAAUGUUUUCCUGACUUUCCUGAAAGAUGAUAUUAGGAAUUCAAGGCUUUCUUUCACCAUCCCAAUUUCUUUUUUUAUGAGAAAAACUGAAUAAGCAUUGGAAAUGAGUAAAUCAUUUAAAUGUCUGAGUAGAAGAUUCAUGAAGAGGAAACCAUCAUCCAUAGGAAACCGAAGUUGAGAUGACUCAGGAGCUUUUAAAAAAAUGUGUCUGAUAUCUCCCUUCAUUUGUUCAAUUUCUUGCAAAAAGUCCGGAGCUGAAAAGUCCGCUUCAUUGAUAUUAUCCUCAGAGAUCUCCUCCAACAGCUUGCUCACCAGAAAAGAUAUUUUUCUGGUAAGCAUUCCAGCAUGUGCCAACAUAUCGUUCAAUUUUUCACGAUGGAUAAACCGCUUUGGCAUAUCAGUGAGAAAGAUCAAUAGGAACUCCAUCAUGACACUAAUGCUUCGAGUUGGAGCAUAAUUGACGGCUACUACACCGGCCAUGCGUCCUUGGAGAUGAAUGAGAUAAUGUUGAAGAAUCCUUGGAGAUGUUUUUAGGAUUUGCUUAACAAAUCCUUCUAGUUCUUUUGACGUUGAUUCUUUGAUGAGCUUACAAGUAGAAAUGUAUAGAACCUCCAACUCAAGAGGGAUUAUGUCGAUGAGUAGAGAAGUGAUCUUGGAAGAGCAUUCAGAGACAUAAUGAUGUCCAGUCCAAAGAUCAAAACAGAAUUGUGUUACUCUAUGAGUAGUAAAUUGGAAGCGAGGAUAUAGAUAUUCAGUACUUGUUUUGUUGGCCGCGAGGAUAGGAUAGAAAUCUAUCAGAUGUCUGCAUACUUGCUGAAGAAUCUUGUAUUCAGUCAUCUGGUGGUGAAGCAAUUGAGAACGGUACUUUGGUAGAUCAUGGAGAUGUCUGAUGAGGUAUUCAUAGAAUUUUAUGUCUAUCGCCGUGGCUACAUAAUCAUUCUUCAAAUUCAAACAAUUUCCUAUCUCUUCAAGCAGCAGAGGGGCAAGACGUUCCAUGUGGUAUUUCUCUAGGAUUAACUCAUCUCUAUGGAAAAGGAACUGAGUACGUACAUUGAAUUUGAAUUUAUGAGUACUCAUCCUGAAAUAAAAGCCAUUCAAAUUCGUCGAAUUCCCAAACAAGACAAAUGUUCUAAGGAAUCUUAGAUCCAUUCUUAGCUUUUCAAUACCAUCCAAUCUUGAAGCAAUGAAUUCUUCUUCUUUGUUCAUUAUUUGCUUCAAGCCAUUCAAGAAAUCAUCAAUAAGAUUCGUGAUUCUUGUUUUUUGUUCCUCUAAUAGUAGCUGCCAAAUCAAAAACAUAUUCAUCAGCAAAAUUCAGUUGAAAACUUUGGCUCUUAACACUUGAAACUACAGUAUUGGUAGACAAUAGACAUACCAAUGAUUUUUCUCCUUUUUCCAUUCAACCAGCUUUCAAUAUCUACAAAAUUUGAUUUUUCAAACUAAUUACAUGCACAUUUAAUAAGGAUAAAAGAAUUAGAAACACAAGUAAAAGUAACAGAAAGAAGAAAGAGUUAAAAGAAUGUCAGCUGUUAUAAAUUCUAAAUUUGGCUCAAAUAUGUUAUCGAACUCUGUAGAAAAAGAAAAGGUUCAUUUAUGUUAUCAGUUAAAACUUUGACUCAUCUAUGUAAUUAUCAUUUGAGAAAAAAUACAUUUAUGCCAUUAUUUUUUACCCCAAUAAGAUCCCAAAUAACUUUUAAUACUUUUCAAUUGGAAUUUUAGAUCAAAUGGAUUCUUUUUGUUUCUUCUACCUUAAAAAACAAAUGUAAAACUCUCAAAUUUCCAACUUCUUCCAUUCUUCGCGAAUUCACCUCAAAUUUCCGCCACUAAUUAAUUUUUCUUUUAAUAAGCAAAAAUUCUAAAAUAUAUAAUCUGUAAAUCAAUCACAUUUAAGAAAGAGUAUAUUUACUAAAAACAAGAGUGAAUACUACAAAUUAUGACAAUCAUCUAACAUUUUAUAAUUAUCUAAGUCAAAAAUACAAAUUAGUUUUCUAGUUCUUGUAAUGUAUGUUUCUUUCAAAUGAAGUAAAUCACAAAAAUACAUGUAAAAUGAAAACUAGAAAAACAUUAUAUUAUACCUUUUUCUUUACUCUCAAAUGGUAGUUUGCCUUGUUGCAGAUUUACAAGAAGCAAAUGUUGAAGUUAGUUCUGCAAAUGUUGAACUUUCAAUUAGUUUAUCAAAGUCUAGAGAUCUGAAAUAGAUUAGUUUAAGUUUACUGCUCACUCCUCCUAUUUUUAAUUGUCAGGUUACACUUUCCAAAAAUUUGAUUAAUUUUUAAAGUUAAAUUUAAUUAUAUUAAUUCGAUAUUUCAAAUAAAUAGAUAUCCAAUAUGAAAAGUAGUAUAAAUUAAACGAUAAAAAAAAUACAUCAUAAAAUGUUAAUCAAAAUUAUUAUCGUUUAACUCUAAAAAAAAAACAUUUGUAAUUAAAAGUGGACAGAGAAACUAUUAAUUUGAAUUAUUAAGUCCAUAAAAAUAUUUGCUGGUGGAUCAUUUACCCAAAAAAUUAUGAGAUUUCAUUUUGUAGUCCUUUAUAAUUUGUUUUAAACUUUAUGAUUAUUUAUUAGAAGAUUUUUGCUUUUUUAUUUAAACAAUCUGAAAGAUUAAUUUUAUUUAUUUUUUAAAAAAUUCAAUUUAUAAGUGAUAAUAAAAAUAUUUACAAUGUUGAAACGUUGAAACAAAAUCUGAAGUAUGUAUAUUUAAUUCGGAAAAGGAUUGAAAUUGCCUCUAAACUGUGUGAAAUAUAUUACUUAUACUCUUGUUAACAUUUUGAGAUAAAAAAAUAAUACCUCGUUAUUAUCUCAAAAGGCCACAAAUACCCUUAACAGUUAACACCAAAAUUUUUUAAUGAUGUGACUGAUCCUGCUGCCAACUAUAUUCCCACUAACCCAUCAAUUCAUCCUCCCAAAUCAAAUCCUAGUUUUGAGAGAAAAAUUAAAUCUUCUCCAUUAAUGUUUGGACAUAUACAAGUAUCCUCCAAUUUAUGUCUGAAAUUUUAGAGACAUACUAAUACUAUAUUAAGUUUCUAUUAUCUCCGAAUUUAUUUUAUAAAUAAUUUUCUACCCCUUUUUGACCUACGUAGCAUUAGCUUUAAAAAAUUGUCAACACGCGCUGGAUCUAGAAGAUAGUGUCACAUAGGUCGAAAUGAAGUGAUAAUUAUUUAUAAAACUAGUUCCAGACACGUGCGUUGCACGUGUUCCCCAAGCUAAAUUGCAUGAAGUUGUUGUAACGAUGUGUUUGUAUGACCUCUUUGAUAUUAAAGAUGAAGAAACCACAAAUAUUGUGAAAUAAAAAUAAUUAUAUGUUAAAUGGUGCAUACAUUUUGAUUUAGUAAUUUGCUGAUAGAAUAAAAAUAGAUCAACAAAAAAAUAAUUACAAAUUAAAAUAAUUAAUUAAGAAAAAUAUAUAGAAAACUUUCACAUAUAUAAGAAAAUAUUAGGCAAAAUAGAAGGCAUACCACUAUAUAAGAAAACUCACAUUUAUAAGAAAACUUUCAAAUUUUCUUUUCAAGAAAAUCAAAAAAGUCUUUCUUUUGUAAUGGAAGAUAUAUGUACGUUUUUCUUGUAAAGACGGUUUAACUUAACUAAGAGAAAAGUAAUUAAUUAAAUUGGACAAUUUGAACUUAAACUUCAUAUUAGAAUUAAAAUGAAUUAAAUAAAAGAAAAUGAAGGAUAGGAAUCAAAGUCUCAAACAUCUUUACAUAUUUCACCUGUAGCUAGAGACUUUUAAUAGAUGAAUAUGGUCAAUAUAUUAAAUUAAGUGUAUUUAAUUAUUAAGUAACCCUUCAAUUUCUUCAAAUUUUAUAAUCUCAAAGAGUGUUAUACUCUAUACAAAUUUAUAGGAUAAUUCUAGUAAUCCAACCUUAACUUUGUUGCUUCACACUUUUAAUAGAACUAAUAAUUCUAUUUUUACUAUAAAGUUUGUAAAAUAAAAUAGUAAAUCAAGAAAAAGUACUUUAAAAGUUAUACAACUUAUGUGGUUAUCAAAGCAAGAACAAUUAUCAACCAUGCAAAGACUUAAAUCAUAAAACUCAAAGUCUUAUUGUGUACGAUAAUAUUUUAUUUGUAGUUAUUAAUUUAUCAAAUAUGAAUGAAAAUAGAAAUUUUUUAAUGGUAAAUAAAAGAACACCUCUAAAGAAUCAACAAAAAUAUUAUAAAAUGAAGCUAAAAUUAACAAUGUGAAAGAAAAAGUAGUAACAAUGUGAAAGAAAAAGAGAUGACAACUUUCUUUAUCUCUUCCAAUUAUUUAAAAUCUCUUCGAUAGGAUAUAAUUGAAGGACUCAAAGGAUUGUCAUGAAUAUGUCAUUAACCCAUUUCAUGGAUGAAAGGUGAAAGUAACAAGUAUAUUAUUAUGAACAUCAACAAAUGUAUAAUAUCUUCAUUUCUAAUAUAAUAACACAAAAUAAAAAUUCCACUUGAACACAUAAUAGAGAAAUCUUAGCAGAUCUUAGUUAAUCUACAAUAAAAUUAUCAAAUAAAUAUUAAGAUACAAUAAACGAAGAGAAGUAGCUAUCAUCAAAACUAAGACAAUAUAUUGUCACGACCCAAAUCCGGGCCGCGACUGGCACCCACAUUUACCCUCCUAUGUGAGCGAACCAACCAAUCUAAACCUUAACAUCUCAAUAUAAUAUCAACAGAAAAUAAUGCGGAAGACUUAAACUCAUAAGUAGAAAUCAAUAAUCAACUUCUAUAACUCAAAAACUUAUCAUUAUUCCCAAAAUCUGGAAGUCAUCACCACAAGAACAUCUAUAAUCAAAUUACUAAACUAAGAGUAUUCUAAGAAGCUAAAAAUACAUAAGAAGCUAGUCCAUGCCGGAAGUUCAAGGCAUCAAGACUUGAAGAAGAAGAUCCAGUCCAAGCUAGAAGCAUUAGCUCACCCUGAAUUUCCGAUGUAGUAAGACUGGCUUGAAUUACUGUUGAGUCGAAGAUGACGGCACGUUUGCUGCACUCCACAAAUAAACAAGAAGAAAACAAUAAAAGUAGGGGUCAGUACAAAACACGGGUACUGAGUAGAUAUCAUCGGCCAACUCAAAAUAGAAAACAGUAUAUAUUAAGCAAUAUCAUAAAAUCAACUAAUAUCCUUAGCAUGCAGCAUUUACAGUUACCAUAACCCUUGGUUACAACACCAAGCACAUCAAUGAGGACUCACGCCUCCUCAUCAUACUCAUUUGGAAAUUCAGUUCAUUAGAUUGAAUAUAUUAACAUUUUUCAAGAUUCAUUAUCUUUAUUCCCCUCGUGUCGGUACGUGACACUCCGCUCCUCAAUAUACUAUCCUGGUGUCGGAACGUGACACUCCGAUCCUCAUUCUAUCCUUGUGUCGGAACGUGACACCCGAUCCAUAUAUUCUAUCCUGGUACCGGAACGUGGCACCUGAUCCAUAUACUAUCCUGGUGUCGGAACGUGACACUCCGAUCCUCAUAUACUAUCCUGGUACCGGAACGUGGCACCCGAUCCAUAUUCUAUCCUGGUGUCGGAACGUGACACUCCGAUCCUCAUAUACUAUCCUGGUACCGGAACGUGGCACCCGAUCCAUAUUCUAUCCUGGUGUCGGAACGUGACACCCGAUCCCCUAAUCUCACUACUUUCGUUCAUCAAGCCUUCUUUUAUACCAAGGCAUCAUCAUUAACAAAGUAGAUUAGGGUUUCUUUUUCAAGAUUUGGGAUUCAAUAGCUUCAUCAUGCUUAUUUAUUCAUAAUUACAUAAUCACAUCAUUCAUGCAAGCAUACAAUUAAGCAUAUAGAAGGGUUUACAAUACUACUAACACAUAUCAUUCGCUAUUAAGAGUUUACUACGAAUAGCAUGAAAACCAUAACCUACCUCCACCGAAGAAUUGCGAUCAACAAGCUAUCUUCUCAAAAUCCUUGCUAUCCUCUUCGUUUCUCUCUCUCUACUCGUUCUCUUUCUUUUUCUGUCUCUCUUUGUUCUUUCUUAUUUUUCUUAUUCCAACCCUCUUUCUUUUACCCUAAUUAACAUAUAAUUAAGAAUAAAAGAUGGCAAUAAUAACACACUAAUUAACUUAAGGUUACCUCUUUUAACCCCCAAGUAAUUAGACUUAUUAGAAUUAACCCACUAACUUUAUAAUUAAAGCAGGAAUAGUCAAAAACGUCCCUUAAAACGUAUAAAGAAAUCCGACCCAGACUGGGAUUGCGCAACCUGCGACGGCCCGUCGUGCCUGCAACGGUCCGUCUUGCAGGUCGUCGCAAGGGUCAGAGACUCAAUUUCCACUGAAGAAUCUGUAACGGUCCGUCACGCCUGUGACGGUCCGUCCUGCCAUUCCGUUACGAAGUUCAGAGAGAUUUUCAGUACCCAAUUUCAUAUUUUCUAAGUGUUUUGAAACGAGACCCUGCGACGGUCCGUCGUGCCCAUGACGGUCCGUCGUGGGGUCCGUCGCUUCUGCCAAUUUUUCCAGAAUUGAAAUCUGCUGCUCAAAACGACUAAAGAGGUCGUUACAUAUAUAUCAUGACAUAAUUUACAGAUCGAAAAAUUAGUGAAGCACACAGUGAUAUUUAUAGCCAAGAUAUAUAAAAACUCAAAAGUCAAGUUAGAAAAAGAUCAUUAAAAUAUCAUUAAAUCUCUUUAUUAAAGAAGUGAAAGGACACUUUAUAUUUUAUUCUUUAGAAAGGGUUAGAUUUCCAAAACUAUUAAAAUCCAAAUUUGUAGUUAUUCUUUAAAGUUAAAACGUAUGACUAUAAGUAUUCAACAUAUGUACUAAUACACAUACAAGAAUAUGAAGAACCAAUUUUGAAACUGUUAAAACAUUUAUUGUAUGAUAGUCAAUAUGAUACUUAGCAUUUAUUUAAACAUAUGUUUACAUAUUUUUUUACACAAAUUAUUAAAGAAGUAUUUUCUUUAUGUAAAGAUAAAAAUGUUUAAUUAAUCAUAUUAGAUGAAUUUAAUUAAAUAUUUUAUAGCCUUUUCAUUAAAUGUAGGGAUAAAAUGGUAAUUCAACUUUUAUGUUUUGAGCUUCAUGCUUAUAAUAAUAUAUGAUAAGUUCAGAACAUAAUAGGACUUUAGUAUAGUAUAAGACUGUCUCUGAGAUUUAAAGCAUAGAUUGUGUGUUCCCAAGUUUCAAGCAAUGAGUUAUGCCAGAGUAGUUUUACCGACUCCUGGCAUUCCGACUAUGGAAAUGACAUCAAGCUCGGAUUCAUGUUCAUCAAGGAGCUGGUCAAUGAUCCGGGCUUCUUCUUCCUCAUGACCUACUGUUACCUCAACAAAAGAGUAGCAUCAAGGGGAUCAUCGCCAUUCUUAGCCUCCAGCUGUAAACUGGUGACUUGUGCCACGAUAAACUUGCAAAUCUUAUCAAUGACAUCCGAAAGUGAGAAGAGGAGAUGCGAGAGAGCUUUAUCUCCGACAAGAAUGGAAUUAAUGACAUGUUCUGUCUCAUAUACCACAUCGAAAGCACGCACCCAACAAUCUUUAACUACUCAACUAGUGCCAUCCAAUGUUUGCCUGACAUUACAAAAAGAUGAUUUUAAGAAUUCAAGGCUUUCUUUCACCAUCCCAACAACUUAAUAAGCAUUGGAAGUGAGUAAAUCAUUUAAAUGUGUGAGUAGAAGAUUCAUGAAGAGAAACCAUCAUCCAUAGGAAAGCGAAAUUGGGAUGGCACUGGGGCUUUCAAGAAAAUCUGUCUGAUAUCUCUCUUCAUUCGUUCAAUUUCUUGCAACAAGUCCGGAGCUGAAAAGUCCGCUUCAUUGAUAUUAUUCUUAGAGCUCUCCUCCAACAGAACAGAUAUUUUCCAUGUAAGUACUCUGACAUGUGCCAACAUAUCGUUCAAUUUGCCACGAUGGAUAAAGUGCUUUGGUAUAUCAGUGAAAAAGAUCAAUAGGAACUCCAUCAUGACAGUAAUGCUUUAAAUUGGAGCGUAUUUGACAGCUACCAUGCUUCGUUGGAGAUGGAUGAGAUAAUUUUGAAGAAUCCUUGGAGAUGCUUUUAGGAUUUGCUUCACAAACAUCUCUAGUUCCGUUGACCUUGAUUCUUUCAUGAGUUUCAAAGUAGAAAUGUAUAGAACCUCCAGUUCAAGAGGAAUUAUGUCAAUGAGUAGAGAAGUGAUCUUGGAAGAGCAUUGUGAGACGUUAUAGUAAUCAUAAUUUUGCUAGAGUUCAAUAAGUUUUGGAGUUCUUCUAAUUAUUUGUCUUAGUGCAAUAAAACUGUAACUCCGUAGGUAUUGUAUUUCUCAUUUCAACCUUUAAGUUUAGCACUAUGUUGUUGAACUAAGCUUUUUCCUACACGAUUAAACUGACCUUUGAGUUAUUACUGCGAUAACAACCAGUUGUAAUUAAGGUUCAACAUGAGCUUGAGCUUGGUGUUUUAAGGUUGUAGGCAGGUAGAUCUUUUCCCAUAUGUGAACAAAUGAUGUACUUUUAUUUGAUGCACUGGUACUGAUCAGAGAAUGUAGAAUUCCUACUCGUUCAUGUGGUAUCGAUUUUACUGUUCUUGGAAUUUCAAAGCUGUUUCCAUAGAGGUAUACUGAACUUGUCCUGUACGAUAUUUCUCAAACGACGUCCCUUGGUUAUAAUCUCUUUCUCCGUAAUUGUAUUAACCAUUGGAGUUACUUGUACCUACAGAGCAGAAAGCAAAUCAAAACCGAUACUUUGAUGUUAUUCAUUUUGGUUUCUGUGCGACUUGGUUUACAAUUCGAGGGAAAUGAUUAAUGUAUAGCUAAAUAAAUUGAUAUUCAUCAUUGGUAAAUUGAUCUUGAAAGUACCGUCUCAGCAUGAAUGAUUAUUUCUCUUGUUCGAAAAAUCAUGUACUUUGUUGUACAUAUGCAGGUGAAUCAACUAACGACGACCAUCCAUUGAUUUAACACUACCUGUUAUUUUACCAAAGUCUAAAUCCGUUUUCGACUUAUCUCCAAGCAACAUGAAGCCUCCAAAUUUCAAUCUUGAAUCAGAAGACGAGUCCGAGGUCAGCAACUGCCAAGUGGGUUCAAACAUAUCCGUCCAAGAAAUUCGCCCUUGUCCUUCCCUUAAUCUUCAGCAGGAAUCAGUUCCUGUUACUCUUGACUUGACUCUUGGCUUCAGCAGCAGUGACUCCGAGUUGAAAGCCAAUGCUGAGGCGAGUGACGAAGUAGUACCCCAUCCUCCAACGGCAGCACUAUCCCGAGUUUUCUCGUGCAAUUUCUGCAGGCGCAAGUUUUACAGCUCCCAGGCAUUGGGCGGACACCAGAACGCACAUAAGAGGGAGAGGACUUUAGCUAAGAGAGCAAUGCGGAUGGGAAUGUUAUCGGACAGGUACGCUAGCUUAGCAUCAUUGCCCCUUCACGGGGCUGCAUUUCGAUCUCUUGGCGUUGAAGCUCAUGGUUCCACACACCAACGCAUCUCGCACCAAGAAACACCUAUUCAUGCAGUUAGAAGCGGGGCUAGAUUUGAACAAGGCUAUUUCGGGAUGCCAGUAUUCGUGGAGGAUGAUGAAGUGGAAGUGUUCUGGCCCGGUAGCUUCAGGCAAAUAGACGGAAUUGGUGGCAAUAUGGGGUAUAAUUCAGGGCAAAGUUCAAGCAUAAAUUUUGUAGCUGUAGCUCCUCAAACUAGGACAGAUCCAACAUUGCCUGAUCUUAAUUUGAAACUCUGAUUUUUUGGUAUUCUAUUCUACUUUUUGUAUCAGAAUUUUCACAAUUGUUGUAUUACAUAUUUACAUUAGUGCUCUAUUUGUACAGGAGAUGAAUAUUUGAGACUGUCUUGAGCUUUCAAUUUUGAAUCUUUUUCAUUCCCAAAUUUGUUCCAUCUUAUUGUACAAUUAUAGUAUGAUACUUUGUCACAUAUAAGUACAGAUUUGGGACAGUGCUGAUAUUUUUUAGUUUACUAGUAUAUGGACACGUGUGUUGCACGUUACUUAAUAACGAUGAAUAAAACGAUAAACAAUUUAACUUUUAAAAAAAUGUUUGUAAUGUACAAUUAACUUGAAGAUUUUUUUUUUUACAUUUAGUCCUCCCUUUUUAUAAUUUUGAUAUAUAAAUUAUAUAUUUGUUUUAAAAGAUAAAAUAAAGUAGCAAAAACAAAAAUGGAGGCACACUAUCUUAUGAUUAACUUUCUUAAAAUGUCUUUUUUGUCUCAUAAAAAUGUUGAAAUUAAAUUAGUAUUUAUACAUUUCAAGAAGAUAAAAUGUUUGACAUUAAUUCAUAAAAGAUGAAAUUCUCCUUCUCAUUAAGUAGAAUGCAAUUAAGUAAUUAAAAUUUAUAAAUAAAAAACUUAUUAGAAGAAAAUAACUAAGAUUUAAAGUGCAAUGAUUGAUAUUUAAAUUAUGUAAUUAUACAAAUAAAAUAUUAAUAUUAAUUAAAUAAAUCUGAUUUUAAUUUAAUGGAGAGUCAAAAUGACAAUAUUAGUAUUCUUACAAUUAAAAGUUUGUUGAAAUAUAUUUUACAUUUUUUUGUUGAAAAAAUAAUAGGAGCAAUAUUUGGUCAAAGGAUAAAAAGAUCUUCUAACUUCUUAAGCAUUUUGGUGUAUCAUUUUUUCGACUUUGGAAUUUGGAUCUCAUGAUAAUUCAAAUGAAAAUUGUCGAAAAACUAUAGAUUUUAUCCACAAGCACAUGUAAGAAUGAUUCUUUACAAAUAUUUAAAAUUUAAAAUGCAAAAAUAUAAUUAUUAAUAUUUGAAAUUAGAAUAUCUUGUAAGCAUUAAUUGUUCUGCAUGUCUUAUACACUAUUUUUAUGAUUGUAUUUUUGUCUCAUUUUCUAAAGCAAAAAAUACACCCUUCAAUCAAAUAUAUUCUUAAAACAAAAUUAUAAAUACAAAGAAAAAGUAUCAUAUAUAGGAGCAAGUUUAGCAUAACGCAACCAACGAAAAAUAGAAAAAUGCGAAGACAAUCUUUUUUCUGUUUUUUCUUGAUAAUGCAAAUAGAAACAAAGUUAUAGUAAUCAACAUUCAACUUUUGACCAUAAAAAAUUAAAAUAUUUGGAAGACAAGUUAAUGGAAGUGAUAUUCAACUACAUAAAUGGAGGGGUCUUACCAUAGUUCUGAUCUCGACAAAUAAGUAAAAAUAAAUAAAUACAUCAAGCUUCGAUAUUUUAGUAAUUAACAUUCAUUCCUAUAAUCACAUUAUGCCUUGUAAUCUUGACACAAAUCCUCUUGCCUUGAAAUUUUCUUCACUUAAUUAAAACUUUUCUAGUCUUCCACACACAAAAAAUUGUAUCACAUGUAAAUCUUUCUAUAAAAAUAAUAUUAAAAGAUUAUAUUUAUAGGAAAAAAUAUAGCUUUGAAAUAUGAAGAUUAACUUACAAAGUUGAAAGGUCAAGUGUUACAAAAAUUAAAAACAAAUAUUAAUUAAGAACAUAAAUUAAUCUAGAAGAUAAACCAUAUACAUGUAUCUAUUUAUAGGGUAAAUAUUUAAAGAAGAUAAAUUAAAUUAGAUAUUUUAAUUAAGAAUUAAUCUAAAGAAGUGCAAAAGUCAUUAACAUUUCUAUUAAAAUAAUAUAAUUAAAUAUUUAAAUUAAAUAAUUAAAUAUUUUUAUAUCAUUUUAAUUUAUAAUAAGGGUAAAAUCGUAAUUCAACUUUCAACUUUUUUGGUUUCCUCUUAUAAUAAUACUAGUCUCCGGGCAUGUGCGUUGCACGUGUAUCCCAAAUAAAAAUCAAUAAAAAAAAUAAAUGAAAAAGUAUAUAAUAAACUAUUAGGAGAAUUAUGAUGUUUUUUUCGAGUGUUCUUUCGAUAUUUUCGAUCUACUGCACAUUAGAUAAGUCUCCAAAGCUUCCAAGAAAGACACAUCAAGUUAAAGAAUUAAAAAGGGAAAAUGCGACGUUACUUAAAGUCAUCUUGUAUCCUUAAUGUGUAUCGUUACAAAUGUAACUACUUCCUUAAAAACUUUCAGAUAUACCCAGACUUACAUUUACAGGCUUACAACUACUAUCCAUCACUGUUAGAGAAGACUUGGAGUUGCUACAUUUGUUGAAGAAAAUGUGAUAUAUUUUGCUAGCAAACAACUGCAAUUUCAAUUUAUUAUUAAUAGUUUAAAAGUUUAAACAUGGUUUCUUUUCUGUGGGAAGCUAUGCGUAGAGAGUUCCGAAGAGAGUUGAUCAUCAUUCAGCAUCAAACCAUAUGUGUACAACAACAUUCAAUUUUUGAUAUAUGUGAUUAUACCUUUUAAGCUAUUUAUUUUACCUAUUAAAAAAAUUAGAAAGUUAUCAUUCAAAUGAAGUUAGCAAAUCAAACGGAAAAAUCUAGACUUAAUAAGAUUGUACCUGAAAAUUAGAAGACAUUUUUGUACCCACUUAACAAUGGAAGCUUGUGUUGAAUGACUAAUGUUGAGUAUGUUUAUAUAGUGUAGUCUUGGAGAUUUGUUGAUAAAAACUCUUUGAUAUUCCUCAAUUACUUAAUUUGAUCCCUUUCAACUUCUCAUAAUUAGCAAAAUACGUUUCAACUUCUAUAUUACUUGAAACUUUAUUAGUGUUCAUCCUAUUUGGUUGUUUCACACAUAGUAAUUGAAUACACUGCUGAACUUCUUAUUUUGUUCCUUUAUUAUGUAAUUUAAUAUUACUAUUUAAUUAGAUAUUUAAUUUAUAUUUGGGUAAAGUAUUUUAUUACUUUUUAAUUUAGUAUAGGGGUAAAGUAGUAAUUCAACUUUACAAUUUAGAGCUUCAUGCUUAUAAUAAUAUAUGAUAUGAUGCAAACCUUUAACCCUGUUUACAUUACCCGUUAGAUUCACUUCAGAAAGUCUCACAUUGGGAGUAAGACAUACAUUCCUAACAAAAAAACAGGAAAGAAAACACACGACACAUUAGAUCAAAAUAUUUUCCAGAACCAGCAAUGAGAAAAACCAGUAACAAGUUUGUUUAUUGGAAGCAAUAAUCAGAUGGAGGCGCUGCGUUUUCGUUCUUUAUUGUUGUGAUUUGUCCAUGAGAAAUCCAACUUCAUCAACCACUGCGAUUCAUAACCACGAGAAUCAGUGCAAUCACUCCACCAACUAUGUAUAAGUAUUAUAUUUCAACAUGCUAGCACAAAUUAAACAUUCCGGAUUUAAGUAAUCUCCUCCUGCAAUAGAAAACAAAUCCAUUGAAUUUUCUCAUAAUGUUACAACUAGUCAAAUCAGUGGAUGAUUUGUUUAUUGCCUCUAAACAAAUGUCAAUAAAAGUUGUUUUUGUGGUAGUGUGUGCGGGAAGAAUAAUGAACUCUACUAACAACUUCAAUGAACACACUACACAAAUGCAAAUUAUAUAAAUGAAACGAACUUAGUUACCUCAUCUUCAUGAUAUGUUUUUCCGUGUUGGUUGCAAUCAAAUCUGAUGUGUGGACAUCAAGUCUGUCCUCUCCUCUGAAAUCUGCUACAUUUUUCUUAAUCUCAAUGGCUGCAUCUCCAAGCUCACGCCUAACAUAACUUAAAUCAAUGGACUUUAAAGUGUCUAUAUCUAUAAAUGCACAAGGGAUCUCCCCAAGUUCGAAACAAUAUGUUAGUAUUAAUUUCUCAAGCUUGGGGAAAGUUUCCCUCUCAACUUGCCAUUCUGUUAAUUGGACCUCUCGCAAAAUCAAAGUCGUAAGACUUUGAUAGAUGUCCUCACUUGCGUCCCAUUUGUCAUCCAAAAAAUUACAGCUGGAAAACUCCAUAAUCUCAAGCUCAGGCAAUGUUGCGAUUGCUGACAAAAAGACAGGUCUCAGGGGAAAAUUAAUCAACCGUAACUCUUUCAAGCUUGUAGGGAAGUGAUAUCCAUUGGGUUGUCGGAUUAACGAGGGAUAUUCAUUGCACUUGUAUCUUGCUAUGAAUGAUUCGAGUUUAUUAAGUACAUCAAGCUUGGGAAACCAAUAGUCGUGUGUAGGAGGAUACUGCGAUUCCAUGAUGAUGCAAUCAAGGUGCUGAAGAAUUGGGAACUUCUCCAGAGCAUCAUCACUCAUGCCUUCAGAAUAUGAGAUAACAACUCCGGAUAGAGUUGUCAAGUUUGAAGAAUUCCCAGAUUCCAAUAUUCUACUUUGGAUAUCCUCUUUCUCUUCAAAGAAAGAACAUACGUUAAUUUUCACAUGUAACAGCUUUGACAGUGAGAAUAUUCUGCUUUGGAUAUCCUCUUUCUCUUCAAAGAAAGAACAUACGUUAAUUUUCACAUGUUUCAGCUUUGACAGUGAGAAUAUUCUGGGCAGUAAAACCAUGGGGGAAGAAUUUCUAUUGAUGAACAGAGUUUCCAGAUUCUGUAGGUUCAACCACGACACCGGGAUAGCUAUUACAUCAGCAGUCUGAAUGCUUAAGAACCUCAAAUGAAAUAAGGACCCUAUUUCUUCAAUUAAAGAAUCUUCCAGAAUGAUGUCAUCCAGUUGCAACACUCUAACAAGUCCAAAGUGUCUUGUGUGACAGAUAUACCUGAACUCAUCUAGUGGACCACUCACUUUCAAAGAUAUGACAUGCUUAUUAACAGCUAAGCACUUAUUAGAAUUGAAUAAAACACAUUUUUUGUGCAGUUGGCUGUUGUCAGUAUGAAUGGUUAGACGACGGUGUAGGAAAUUAGAAGCAUGAAAUGGAUCACCUGAAUUGAUUAACUUGAAAAACUUCUCCUUUUUUGCUUUCACUGAACAAAAAUCGUGCACAACAUCAUGAACAUAGCAAGCUCUGAUCAUUGCAGAAGUCCACCAAAGACUCUCGGAGGGGAUAUGAUCCACCAUUAUCAGGCUACUAGAAAUUAAAGCAUUCAAGUAACUUUGAGUUGUUUCCACUGAACUAUCAUGAUCCACAAGCCCUUCGGCCAUCCACAACUGCAUCAAUGUAGAGACUGGAGUCCGUUUGCUCUUUUGAGACCUUGCAAAGUAAAGCAGCAACGGCUUCAGGUGGUAUGGUAAAUGGUCAUAACUUAAUUGCAUAACCUUCAUCAUCUGCAAAUUGUUGUUUGAAGAAAUAAAGGAAUCCAGAUUAUGUUCAAUCUGAAGCCACAAAUCCUUUUUCUUUUUCUUUCCUCUAACAAUUACUCCAGCAAUCAAAACAAUAGACAAGGGAAGUCCUUUACAUUUCUCAACUAUUUGGUGUCCAAUGUCUGACAGUUCAGCAGGGCAGCUUCCUUCAUCCUCAAAUACCUUUUUUACGAAUAAAUCCCAACUUUUUUCAGGUGUUAAAAGUUGAAGGUGGAGAGUAUCACUAUGGCAUUUAACUUUCAAACCUACCUCACUACUUCGGCUAGUUAAAAUAACUCUAUUUCCUCUCUCAACCUUUUUUGGAAAACAUGCUAUUAACAUCUCCCCUGUUGCAAUAUCCCACACAUCAUCCAAGACGAUGAGGUACCUUUUAUCGAGUAGUGCUACUCGUAGCUUUCCAGCAAGGUCAUCCUCACUUUCUUUUGUCUCCGAGGCAGUAACUUGCUGAAGAAUCUCCCGCAACACCUUUGACUUGUUAAAGUUUUGGGAAACAGUGCACUUAGCACGAAUCUUGAAAUGACUAGCAACUAAUGUAUUGUUAUACACUUUAUUGGCAAGAGUAGUUUUACCGACUCCUGGCAUUCCAACAAUGGAAAUGACAUCAAGCUCGGAUUCAUGUUCAUCAAGGAGCUGGCCAAUGAUCCGGGCUUCAUCUUCCUCAUGACCUACUGUUACCUCAACAAAUGAUGAUGAGGUUAACUUAAUUGGCUCAUUGGAAGACUUUGCAUCAAGGGGGCCAUCCCCAUUCUUAUCCUCCAGCUGUAAACCGGUGACUUGUGCCACAAUAAGCUUGAUCUUAUCAGUGACAUUCGGAAGUGAGAAGAUUAAAUGCGAGAGAGCUUUAUCUCUGACAAGAAUGGAAUUAAUGACAUGUUCUGCCUCAUAUGCCACAUCCAAAGCACGCAUCCAACAAUCUUUAACAACUCCACUAGUGCUCUCAUCCAAUGUUUGCCUGAAAGAUGCUGUUAGGAAUUCAAGGCUUUGUUUCACCAUCUCAAUUUCUUUUUUUAUCAGAGAAACUGAAUAAGAAUUGGAAGUGAGUAAAUCAUUUAAAUGUCUGAGUAGAAGAUUCAUGAAGAGGAAACCAUCAUCCAUAGGAAAGCAAAGUUGGGAUGACUCUGGCGCUUUCAAAAUAAUCUGUUUGAUAUCUCCCUUCAUUCGUUCGAUUUCUUGCAACAAGUAUGGAGCUGAAAAGUCUGCUUCAUUCAUAUUAGAGCUCUCCUCCAUGAGAAUAGACAUCUUCCUUGUAAGUAGUCCGACAUGUGCCAACAUAGAGUUCAAUUUGCCACGAUGGAUAAAGCGCUUUGGUAUAUCAGUGAGAAAGAUCAAUAGGAACUCCAUCAUGACAUUAAUGCUUUGAGUUGCAGAGUAACUGACGGCUACCAUGCGUCCUUGGAGAUGAAUGAGAUAAUUCUGAAGAAUCCUUGGAGAUGCUUUUAGGAUUUGCUUAACCAAUCCUUCUAGUUCUUUUGACCUUGAUUCUUUGAUGAGGUUAGAAGUAGAAAUGUAUAGAACCUCCAGCUCGAGAGGGAUUAUGUCGAUGAGUAGAGAAGUGAUCUUGGAAGAGCAUUCAAAGACUAAAUACUCAUAACCAUCAUCAGUAUAUUCUUUAUACUCUCCAGUCCAAAGAUCAAAACAGAAUUGUGUUACUCUAUCAACUGUCAUUUGGUACCGAGCAUAGAGAAAUUCUGUUGUUGUAAUUUUGUUGCAUUCCAAUUCAUAGAAAUCUCUGAGAUGUGUACAUACUUGCCGCAGAAUCUUGUAUUCACUCAUGAGGGGUAGAAGCAAAUCAGAACAAUACUUUGGUAGAUCAUGGAGGUUUCUGAUGAGGUAUUCAAACAAUUUUAUCUCUGUAGUUGUGGCUACAUAAUCAUUCUUCAAACUCAAAUAAUUUCUUAUCUCUUCAAGCAGCAGAGGGGCAAGACAUUCCAUGUUGUAUCUCUCUAGGAUUAUUUUAUCUACGUACUCCAUAGAUUGAUCGAAUUUGCUUAUAUUCAUUGACAUCCUCUCAUAAAAGUCAUCCAAAUUCAUCGAAUUUCCAAACAGGACAAAUGUUCUUAGGAAUCUCAGUUCCAUUCUUAGAUUUUCAAAGGCAUCCAAUUUUGAAGCAAUGAAUUCAUUCUUUAUUUGCUUCAAGCGAUUCAAGAAAUCAUCAAUAAGAUUCGUGAUUCUUGUUUUUUGUUCCUCAAAUAAUAGCUGCUAAAUCAAAAACAUAUUCAUCAGCAAAAUUCAGUUGAAAAUUUUGGCUCUUAACACUUGAAACUACAGUAUUGGUAGACAAUAGACAUACCAAUGAUUUUUCUCCUUUUUCCAUCCAACCAGCCUUCAAUAUCUAAAAGAUUUGAUUUUUCAAACUAAUCACAUGCACAUUUAAUAAGGAUAAAAGAAUUAGAAACACAAGUAAAAGUAACAGCAAGAAGAAAGAGUUCAAAGAAUGUCAGCUGUUAUAAAUUCUAAAUUUGGCUUAAAUAUGUUAUCGAACUUUGUAGAAAAAGAAAAGAUUCAUUUAUGUCAUCAGUUAAAACUUUGGUUCAUCUAUGUCAUUAUCAUUUGAGAAAAAACACAUUCAUGCUAUUAUUUUUUACCCAAUAAGAUCCCAAACAACUUUUAAUACUUUUCAAUUGGAAUUUUAGAUCAAAUGGAUUCUUUUUGUUUCUUCUACCUUAAAAAACACAUGUAAAACUCUCAAAUUUCCAACUUCUUCCAUUCUUCACGAAUUCACCUCAAAUUUCCGCCACUAAUUAAUUUUUCUUUUAAUAAGCAAAAAUUCUAAAAUAUAUAAUCUGUAAAUCAAUCACAUUUAAGAAAGAGUAUAUUUACUAAAAACAAGAGUGAAUACUACAAAUUAUGACAAUCAUCUAACAUUUUAUAAUUAUCUAAGUCAAAAAUACAAAUUCGUUUUCUAGUUCUUGUAAUGUAUGUUUCAUUCAAAUCAAGUGAAUCACAAAAAUACAUGUAAAAUGAAAACUAGAAAAACAUUAUAUUAUACCUUUUUCUUUACUCUCAAAUGGUAGUUUGCCUUGUUGCAGAUUUACAAGAAGCAAACGUUGAAGUUAGAUCUGCAAAUGUUGAACUGUCAAUUAGUUUAUCAAAGUCUAGAGAUCUGAAAUAGAUUAGUUUAAGUUUACUACUCACUCCUUCUAUUUUUAAUUGUUAGGUUGCGUUUUUCGAAAGUUAAUUUGAUUAAUUUUCAAAGUUAAAUUCAAUUAUAUUAAUUCGAUAUUUUAAGUAUUCUGACAUGUGCCAACAUAUCGUUCAAUUUUUCACGAUGGAUCAAUAGGAACUCCAUCAUGACAGUAAUGCUUUGAGUUGGAGCGUAUUUGACAGCUACCAUGCUUCGUUGGAGAUGAAUGAAAUAAUUUUGAAGAAUCCUUGGAGAUGCUUUUAGGAUUUGCUUCACAAACCUCUCUAGUUCCGUUGACCUUGAUUCUUUCAUGAGUUUCAAAGUAGAAAUGUAUAGAACCUCCAGUUCAAGAGGAAUUAUGUCAAUGAGUAGAGAAGUGAUCUUGGAAGAGCAUUGUGAGACGUUAUAGUAAUCAUAAUUUUGCUAGAGUUCAAUAAGUUUUGGAGUUCUUCUAAUUAUUUGUCUUAGUGCAAUAAAACUGUAACUCCGUAGGUAUUGUAUUUCUCAUUUCAACCUUUAAGUUUAGCACUAUGUUGUUGAACUAAGCUUUUUCCUACACGAUUAAACUGACCUUUGAGUUAUUACUGCGAUAACAACCAGUUGUAAUUAAGGUUCAACAUGAGCUUGAGCUUGGUGUUUUAAGGUUGUAGGCAGGUAGAUCUUUUCCCAUAUGUGAACAAAUGAUGUACUUUUAUUUGAUGCACUGGUACUGAUCAGAGAAUGUAGAAUUCCUACUCGUUCAUGUGGUAUCGAUUUUACUGUUCUUGGAAUUUCAAAGCUGUUUCCAUAGAGGUAUACUGAACUUGUCCUGUACGAUAUUUCUCAAACGACGUCCCUUGGUUAUAAUCUCUUUCUCCGUAAUUGUAUUAACCAUUGGAGUUACUUGUACCUACAGAGCAGAAAGCAAAUCAAAACCGAUACUUUGAUGUUAUUCAUUUUGGUUUCUGUGCGACUUGGUUUACAAUUCGAGGGAAAUGAUUAAUGUAUAGCUAAAUAAAUUGAUAUUCAUCAUUGGUAAAUUGAUCUUGAAAGUACCGUCUCAGCAUGAAUGAUUAUUUCUCUUGUUCGAAAAAUCAUGUACUUUGUUGUACAUAUGCAGGUGAAUCAACUAACGACGACCAUACAUUGAUUUAACACUACCUGUUAUUUUACCAAAGUCUAAAUCCGUUCCCGACUUAUCUCCAAGCAACAUGAAGCCUCCAAAUUUCAAUCUUGAAUCAGAAGACGAGUCCGAGGUCAGCAACUGCCAAGUGGGUUCAAACAUAUCCGUCCAAGAAAUUCGCCCUGGUCCUUCCCUUAAUCUUCAGCAGGAAUCAGUUCCUGUUACCCUUGACUUGACUCUUGGCUUCAGCAGCAGUGACUCCGAGUUGAAAGCCAAUGCUGAGGCGAGUGACGAAGAAGUACCCCAUCCUCCAACGGCAGCACUAUCCUGAGUUUUCUCGUGCAAUUUCUGCAGGCGCAAGUUUUACAGCUCCCAGGCAUUGGGCGGACACCAGAACGCACAUAAGAGGGAGAGGACUUUAGCUAAGAGAGCAAUGCGGAUGGGAAUGUUAUCGGACAGGUACGCUAGCUUAGCAUCAUUGCCCCUUCACGGGGCUGCAUUUCGAUCUCUUGGCGUUGAAGCUCAUGGUUCCACACACCAACGCAUCUCGCACCAAGAAACACCUAUUCAUGCAGUUAGAAGCGGGGCUAGAUUUGAACAAGGCUAUUUCGGGAUGCCAGUAUUCGUGGAGGAUGAUGAAGUGGAAGUGUUCUGGCCCGGUAGCUUCAGGCAAAUAGACGGAAUUGGUGGCAAUAUGGGGUAUAAUUCAGGGCAAAGUUCAAGCAUAAAUUUUGUAGCUGUAGCUCCUCAAACUAGGACAGAUCCAACAUUGCCUGAUCUUAAUUUGAAACUCUGAUUUUUUGGUAUUCUAUUCUACUUUUUGUAUCAGAAUUUUCACAAUUGUUGUAUUACAUAUUUACAUUAGUGCUCUAUUUGUACAGGAGAUGAAUAUUUGAGACUGUCUUGAGCUUUCAAUUUUGAAUCUUUUUCAUUCCCAAAUUUGUUUAGUUGACCAUCUUAUUGUACAAUUAUAGUAUGAUACUUUGUUACAUAUAAGUACAGAUUUGGGACAGUGCUGAUAUUUUUUAGUUUAUUUAAACCUUUAACCCUGUUUAUCAUUAUUCGUUAGAUUCUUUUCAGGAAGUCUCACAUUGGGAGUAAGACAUACAUAGGCGAUUUUAUAUCUGGUAAGGCUCGAACGCGAGACCUCUGAUUAAGGAUCAGAGAGUGCUGCCUCUCCACCACAGUGCUUGUUGGCACAGUAGUAAUCAUAUUAACUGUCCAUAUCAAUAGUGAUAGUUAGUUGCCUUUUGGCAUUGAAACCUUCCAAUUAAAAAAAACAAAACUAGUAUCUUAUAUGAGAGAUUACAGACGAAAUAAGAUUCAUAACUAACAAAAAAACAGGAAAGAAAACACACGACAAAUUAGAUCAAAAUAUGUCCAGAACCAGCAAUGAGAAAAACCAGUAACAAGUUUGUUUAUUGGAAGCAGUAAUCAGAUGGAGGCGUUGCGUUGUUUCGUUCUUCAUUGUUGUGAUUUGUCCAACUUCAUCAAUCACUGCGAUUCAUAACCACGAGAAUCAGUGCAAUCACUCCACCAACUAUGUAUAAGUAUUAUAUUUCAACAUGCUAGCACAAAUCAAACAUUCAGGAUCUAAGUAUUCUCCACCUGCAAUACAAAACAAAUCCAUUGAAUUUUCUCAUAAUGUUACAACUAGUCAAAUCAGUGGAUGAUUUGUUUAUUGCCUCUAAACAAAUGUCAAUAAAAGUUUGUUUUUGUGGUAGUGUGUGCAGGAAGAAGAAUGAACUCUACUACUAACAACUUCAACGAACACACUACACAAAUGCAAAUUAUAUAAAUUAAACGAACUUAGUUACCUCAUCUUCAUCCUCUGUUUUUUCUCGUUGGUUGCCAAUCAAAUAUGAUGUGUGGACAUCAAGUCUGUCCUCUCCUGUGAAAUCUGCUACAUUUUUCUUAAUCUCAAUGGCUGAAUCUCCAAGCUCACGCCUAACGCCUCUUAAAUCAAUGGACUUUAAAGUGUCUAUAUCUAUAAAUGCACAAGGGAUCUCCCAAAGUGUGAUACAAAGUUUUAGUAUAAAUUUCUCAAGCUUGGGAAAAGUUUCCCUCUCAACUUGCCAUUCUGAUAAUUGGACAUCUCGCAAAAUCAAAGUCUUAAGACUUAGAUAGAUGUCCUCACUUGCGUCCCAUUUCUUAUCCACGAAUUUACAGCUGGAAAACUCCAUAAUCUCAAGCUCAGGCAACGCUGCGAUUACUGACAACAAAUCAGGUCUCAGGAGAAAACCAGUCAACCGUAACUCUUUCAAGCUUGUAGGGAAGUGAUAUCCAUUGGGUUGUCGGAUUAACGAGGGAUAUCCAUUGCACUCGUAUCUUGCUUUGAGUGAUUCGAGUUUAUUAAGUACAUCAAGCUUGGGAAACCAAUAGUCGUGUGUAGGAGGAUACUGCGAUUCCAUGAUGAUGCAAUCAAGGUGCUGAAGAAUUGGGAACUUCUCCAGAGCAUCAUCACUCAUGCCUUCAGAAUAUGAGAUAACAACUCCCGAUAGAGUUGUCAAGUUUGAAGAAUUCCCAGCUUCCAAUAUUCUACUUUGGACAUCCUCUUUCUUUUCAAAGAAAGAACUCAUGUCAAUUUUCACAUGUUUCAGCUUUGACAGUUGCAAUAUUCUAGGCAGUAAUACCAUGGUGGAAUAAUGUGUAUCGAUCAACAGCGUUUCCAGAUUCUGGAGGUUCAACCACGACACUGGAAUAGCUUUUCCCAAAGCAUGAAUGCUUAAGAACCUCAAAUGAAAUAAGGACCCUAUUUCUUCAAUUAAAGAACCUUUCAGAACAAUGAAAUCCAGUUGCAACACUCUAACAAGUCCAAAGGGUCUUGUGUGACAGAUAUAUCUGAAGUCAUCAAGUGGACCACUCACUUUUAAAGAUAUGAGAUGCUUACUAACAGCUAAGCACUUAUUAGAAUUGAAUAAAACACAUUUUUUGUGGAGUUGGUAGUUGUCAGUAUGAAUGGUUAGACGAUGGUGUAGGAAAUCUGAAGCAUGAAAUGUAUCACCUGAAUUGAUUAACUUGAGAAGCUUCUCCUUUUUGGCUUUUUCAGAACAAAAAUCGUGCACAACAUCAUGCACAUAGCAAACCUUGAUCAUUAAAGGCGUCCACCAAAUGCUCUCGGAGGGGAUAUGAUCCACCAUUAUCAGGCUACUGGAAAUUAGAGCAUCCAAGUAACUUUGAGUUACUUCCUCUAAACUAUCAUGAUCCACAAACCCUUCGGCCAUCCACAACUGCAUCAAUGUAGAGACUGGAGUUCGUUGGCUCUUUUGAGUUGUCGCAAAGUAAAGCAGCAACGGCUUCAGGUGGCAUGGUAAAUGGUCAUAACUUAAUUGCAUAACCAAAUUGAUGUUUGUAGAAAUAAAGGAAUCCAGAUUAUGCAGUAUCUUAAGCCAAAAAUCCUUUUCCUUUUUCUUCCCUCUAACAAUUACUCCAGCAAUUAAAACAAUAGCCAAGGGAAGACCCUUACAUUUCUCAACUAUUUGGUGUCCAACUUUUGACAGUUCAGCAGGGCAGCUUCCUUUAUCUCCAAAUACCUUUUUUACGAAUAAAUCCCAACUUUUUUCAGGUGUUAAGAGUUGAAGGCGGAGAGGAUCACUAUGGCAUUUGACUUGCAAACCUACCUUACUACUUCGGCUGGUUAAGAUAAUUCUAUUUCCUCUCUUAACCUUUGGAAAACAUGCUAUUAACAUCUCCCCUGUUUCAAUAUCCCA
rnacentral:lncRNA from 1 species